AGGAUGAGACUGCGUCCGAUUAGGUAGUUGGUGGGGUAACGGCCCACCAAGCCUGUCAUCGGUACGGGUUGUGGGAGCAAGAUCCCGGAGAUGGAUUCUGAGACAUGAAUCCAGGCCCUACGGGGCGCAGCAGGCGCGCAAACUUUACAAUGCGAGCAAUCGUGAUAAGGAAACCCUGAGUGCCUGUUGAUGCAGGCUGUUCAUUAGUUUAAAUUGCUGGUGAAGAAAGGGCAGGGCAAGACCGGUGCCAGCCGCCGCGGUAAUACCGGCUGCUCGAGUGAUGGCCACUAUUACUGGGUUUAAAGCGUCCGUAGCUUGAUUGUUAGGUCUCUUGGGAAAUCUUCAGGCUUAACCUUAAGGCGUCUAAGAGAUACCGGCAAUCUUGGGACUGGGAGAGGUAAACCGUACUUCGGGGGUAGGAGUGAAAUCUUGUAAUCCUCGAGGGACGACCUAUGGCGAAGGCAGUUUACCAGAACAGCUUCGACAGUGAGGGACGAAAGCUGGGGGAGCAAACGGGAUUAGAUACCCCGGUAGUCCCAGCCGUAAACAAUGUGCGUUAGGUGUAUCGGCAACCACGCGUUACUGAUGCGCCGCAGAGAAAUCGUGAAACGCACCACCUGGGAAGUAUGGUCGCAAGGCUGAAACUUAAAGGAAUUGGCGGGGGAGCACCACAACAGGUGGAGCCUGUGGUUUAAUUGGAUUCAACGCCGGACAUCUCACCGGGUAAGACAGCUGUAUGAUUGUCAAUCUGA
rnacentral:rRNA from 1 species